GGUCUUCAGGAGAAGCGUAUUAUAUUGCGUUACGGUAAUCAACGGUUCAGGCAAGUUUUUCAAGUUCUUUUUACUUAAACUCUUUUAAGAGUGGUUUCAGACAGAUAUGCUUAUGAAUUGUACUCUGUACAUCUUGCAUGUAUAAGUCGGGUAUGAAAGGCUGAUCACCUUCAUUACCAGUUGGUCCAGAUAUAUUGUUAUUCCUGUUAAAUACUUGUUCAGUCAAAACUUUGUUCAUGCUAAUUCACAAAUACAUUGUGAAGGAUAGUCAGCUUAUUAUUCAAACUCUUUCCAUCAUGAUAUAUCUUUGCAUUGUUUUUAAACUUGCUGGGCAACUUUCAUGCUCACCCUUGCUAUAUCAUGAUAAAACAUUGCAGAUAAGGCGAAUACGGCCAGUUACAGGAAAAGGAAAAUGCCAAGUUCAGCUUGGGAUAGAAUGUACAGCUAAUUUGUAAAAGUAUGGUUGAAGAAUAGUAUUGUUAUGUGUUAGAUAGCUUAUGAUUUGUGUUUAAGUAAAGGUUACUCGACCUUGGGGAAUAGUGUGUAAUGUAAUGUAUAAACAAUUUAUGUUUAUAUCUUCCGCAAACAGUUGUAGAAAUAGCGAACCGGAUCCGCGGCGAUUCGGGACCCGGAUUCGGGGCUGCUACAGUUGGUAUCAAAGCUGUUGGUUAUGAAGCUUAGGUAGCAAUACCUGAGACCAAUAACCGCAGUGAUUAGGAUAAGUACUAACUCACAUAGAGUUAGUUGAAGAAUCUCGCAGGGUCAAAAAGUUAGGUUUAAGUAUGGUACCAUUGUACUCGAAACUAGUUGAUGUAUGGUAUCUGGGCUAAACGAUUCCUUCAUAGAGCGGAGGUAUAUACGAACUAGCAACUCGGAACCUAGUUUGUUGGUUGUUUGUGGGAAACCACUCAGCGUACCAUAUUGAAAACUGUUAGAGACUCGAUGUGUACCAAGUAUAGGAAGUGGAUAGAUAGAGUCUAAGAGAUUACAAGUGUAAGGAUGGGAGAUCGUAAAACAAAACGAUCACAGAAUAGCAAUGAAUCGUAAUAUAUACGAUGAGAUCACUCCGUGAUCUGAUAAGGUUAUGGUAUGAAGAAAGAUCCAGAGAAUGAUGAAAAGUUUACAGCAAGAUUGCUGUGUAUGAAUUGUACUAUAAAUUGGUACAGAUCCAGAAGAGAAUUAUAAAUACGAAUUAAAUUCGUAUGGAGAAGGGGUUAGUGUUAGGUGGGGAUUCAAUUGAGGACUCAUGUCGGCAGCUGAGUUGUAUGAUUCUUCGUAUGGGAGCUGAAUUGUACUUGGUGUAAAAACCACUUAGUUUCUGGCACUGAUAAUCAUUGAAAUGUUUAUGUCGCGCUAUUUGUUAUAUGCAUGUUCAGAGGGUGAUUCCUUUCUCAUGUGUAUAACAGGUAGAUAGGUCAUAGAUAGAGGAUAUAAGGUUAAGUACGAGUUCUUAAAACUCAUACUUAUGGUACGUUCGUGACUCAUGAUUAUAUGAAAUGUUUAUGGACCCCUCAGCGAAUGGACGCCAAAGGUCUGUCUAGGAAAGUUCUUAAACUCAUAUGAUUGUGGUAAGUUCCUGAACUCAUAAGUGUGGUAAGUUUGACGAACUGGGUAUAGUUAUGUGUGAAAGAAGUAUUGAGGAUUAUAAGAAUAGAUAGAUCUAUUAAGUAAUGGAUCAGUAGAAAAAGUGAAGUUGAUGAUGGAAGCAUAGGUAUUCCAAAUCUUCUAGCUAUGCUAGACUUCGAAUUUUUGACAUCAAGCUAAAUACGCACUAUGUGCCUUUUGAAAACAAAAAUAUAGACUCGUAAUCAUUUUUGAAACGGUUUAAAGUACAGUCUAUGCUACUUAUUUCGGCUAGACGCGAAAGAUUUGAAGUAUCAAAAGUUGUUUUUAUUUAUCACUUAUGUACCAUGCAACCUGGUGCAGAGAUGAUAAAAAAAUGAUGGAGUCAUCAAUGCAGUAUUACUUAGUGUUGGAUGUGAUCUCAGGAUCGUCAACCCACUAUGGUAUGAUGUAGUAUGAUAAAAUCACCAAAUGACGGAAUCCUCAACGGACUGUAAAUACAGUGCGGCAUCAUGACGUCAUUCUCGAAAAAUGUUUUCAAAAUUUUAAUUUGCCAACGGGGUUUGGCUAUACUUAAAUAAUUCUAUUGAACUGAAUUAUCGAUAUGAGUCUAUGCUAUUCGAUUCAGCUAGACUAAUGUUUAUGAAAACUCUAAGUGUUCAUUGAAAGAAAUUUCCCGAACCAAAUUGUUUUGGUGCGGAAUCCUAUACUAAGUCUGAGGUGAACAACCCUGAAAAUGGGGAUAUACUAAUUGGAUAGAAUAUUCCAAUUUAAGGACGCAUAUAGUCGUUCGGAUUACUAAGGUACAAUAGACUGAUCAUCUAAAGUACCAGAAUCGGUAGUUUACCUUCUUCGUGAUUGUAAACAUACCUAUUAAAGAAAUGUUUAAGAGGUAGAGUACCUUUCUUUCUUAAUUGAAAGAGGUAGCAGGUAGAAAUACCCCUAAACCUCGGAGUUCAAAGUUCAUAAUUUUUAUGAUCCCUCAGACAGAUAUGAAAAGUUUUUUUUUAAACCCUUCAGAGUAAUGUUGUGGUAGAACGUGAUGAUUGAUAUGAAAUAAUGUAAACUCGUUGUGUACGAGUAGAAUCUGAGAUGAUUGAAUAAAGGUUAUUACGACAACCUAGUUUUGAAGAAUGUUUAGAAGAUGUAAACUCCUAGUGAGUAGUUCUGGUGAAAUGUGAUGAUAGAAAAAGAAAUCCUCAAAUGAGGAAAUUGUAAAGGUUAAGUUAAAAACCUAGUUAUGAAUAAGAGAAUAAGCAAAGAUUAGUAUGCUUUAAUUUCGAGGACGAAAUUCUUAGAAGAAGGGGUGAAUGUGACAACCCGAAAAGUUUCUAAAAUCUUGAAUGAUUAGAAUAAAGGUUAAAGAAUAAAACCUAGAUGAGAAUUUGAGAAUUUAUUUAAAAUUUUCAAGAAAAACCUAUAUGGUUUGAUAUUCGAAUGAGAAUAGAGAAAAUAUGGGUUACAAAAUUCCAAAACCCUAGAAAUGAAUUAAUAUGUACUUGAAGGAAUAUCAAGAAUAAGGUAUUACGAUACCUGUAAAUUCGAUGUGAACUGAAUAGUCUAAGAAAUGUUAUAUAAGUACAUAUGGAAAUUUUAUUAUUGGAGAUAAGAUUUCACAUGAAGAGAUGCUAUGAGGUUAAACGAAGAUGAGUAUAUGUAUAGAAAUAUAUAUACUUAGUAAGGUGCUAUAUAUAUUUUAGCAAGAGGAAUGAUGAAUUAAGUUAAUGAUAUAAGGAUCAAGAUAAAACUAUGUUAGUAAUUAACAUAGCUUGAACGUUGGCCUUGACUGGCAAAUAAGAAUUUGAAUAAGUAUAAAGUCGUUAGUUAAUACGAUUAGCAAUAAGAAGGGAGUAAUUUAAAACUCAAAAUUUGAGUUAGAGAUAGAAUUUUGAAGCAUGGACUGCUCGGUUGCGUCCAGAACGUCGAAUUUAGUCAGAAUGGACAGUAAACACAAAAUGUGUAAAGGUUGACUUUUGGUCAAAGUCAACAGUUGACUUUUUAUGGAGAAAAGUCAAAAUUAGUGUGAGAAGUGAAAUAUGUUAUGAUUAUGUGAAUUAUGGAUAUGAGUAAAUAAAUAUACAUUAUAUAAUGUGAAUACAUUUAUUUUGUAUAUAAGAGUGAAGUAAGAAUUAAGUUAUGUAACCUAAUAUAUAUAUUAGGUGUGGUGAUUAAAUAACCUGAGAGGUUAUAAUAUGGGAGAAUAUUAGUAUAUAAAUGUAUAUACUGACAUUAAGAGAUUUAUUUUAUAUAUCUCCAAUAAUUAAUUUUAUAACCAAGUAUAAUUUGGUUUAUGAAAUUAAAAGGGCAUGAGUAAGGAAUUUAUUUUCUAGAGUGAGAGAUGUAAACCCUAAUUUAAAGAUAAGGGUAGAAUGGAAUAGAAUUAAAAAUAAUGGACUAUAAUAAGGUUAUAGCCCAAUUAAUUUGAAUAGAGUCCAAGAGGAGUAGAUUUAAUGGACUAAUGAUGUUAUAUCAUCUAAAUAAGCCCAAUUAAUUAAUUAAGCAUGGGACUUGUAGAUAAAGUGAUUAAGGGCAAUUAAUUAUUUAAUCUAGCCCAAUAUAUUAUGUAUGGGACAAGUAUUAUAAUGACCCAAUUAAAUUUUGGGUGGAAGCCCAAGUUAGUUUUUGUUAGUAGGUAACACAAGUAAAAUGGCUAGCUCAAUGGGAUUAAUUAAUGGCCCAAACUAAGCCUACUUGUGGGAGAAUAGUAAUAAUAUUAAAAUUAUAUUAAGUUAAGAGAUAUAUUUUUAUUAUCUCAAGAUUUUAAUUUUAUAACUUAAUUAAAAUAUGCUUAAUUGGGUUAUAGAAUUUAUUGUAGUAGAGUGAUGAUUUAAAUUCUAAUUAUUUGGAAUGAUACUCUAAUUAAAUAUUUAGAUUGGAUAUCCUAAUUAAAUAUUUAGGGUUGGGUAAGAUAGAAAAGAAUUUGACUAUGUUAAUUUACAUGGCCCAAAGAAUUAAAUUUUAAGUCCAAUAUAUUAUUUAUUGAUAGCCCAAAAGAUGGAAAUGGUGGCCCAAAUUUAAGCCCAAUUAAGGAGGGACAUAUUGGACAUUUGGUAUGCUAAAUAAAAAAAAAAAAAAAAAAAAUCAAUUAUUGAUAUGGAAAUGUCCAUUUUACCCUUUUGUCCCAUUUUGGUGAAUAAUUGCUAAAGAAUCCUAUGUUCAAUAAUUGGCAACUUGUUGGGGCAAUAAUCCAAGCAAUAUUAGCCCCUCAUAUCAACCAAACCAUUUGCAUCAAUUAUUUUCAAGAAUUAAAGAGAGAGAAAGUUCAUCCAUGGAAGAAGGAAGAAGAAGAAGAAGAAGGAAGGCUUAAGAAAAAGGUAUGAAAAUUUCCUAAAUUCAAAACUCUUGUUAGUUUAAAAGUGUUUUGAUAUGGUGUUUUAGAUCAAGUGUUGAACUUAUGAUUUUGAUCCAUAUGAGGGAAGAUCUACAUGAUAUAUGAUAUUUUAUGGUUAGAUCUUGCCAUUUUUAGGGUUGAUAGGCUUGAACAAAGAAGAAUAACCAAAACAGUUUUUUUUGUUUUAAAUGAGUUAGUGGACUGCUGCCCUAAAACAGAAAAUUUCGGAUUUGUUAGAGUGCUCUAAAAAUUCUGGACUUGUGAUAUGUUAUAGUACACUCAAUAAGCUUUCCAUAGACUCCGAAACGGACUAAAUCCGACAUCGGAGGAGGGAGUUAUGGGAUUUCUCCCAAACUACACAAAGUUAAGAAAACUGUGAAAAGGACAGUUUUGGAACAGUCACUUCCGGGCUAAAUUCCGGGAGCUAAACAUAUCCAAAUAUGGAUUGUGAUAUAUGAAAACUGUAGUUCGGAAAGAUACGAAUCCAACAAAAUUGACGGAUCAUUAAUCGGAGUUACAGAUUUCGUUUUAUUUAAGUUUUGGUGAAGGACUCCAAAACUGCCAAAGUGCAAAAAGUUUCUGGCCAAAAUUUUCCGAGGGCUGUUUUGGACAUUUAGUUAAUGAGAAAAAUUACAGGCUUUUGGGAAAUGAAAAUAUAUGGUAAUAUGUAGCUCGUGUCCAAAAAUGAGCUAAUUCCGGCUUAAAACGACCAAGUUAUGACCAUUUCAAUUUUUGUGAUUUUCCGACGGAAAUCGCUAUAACCGGAGUUCUACAACUCCGAUUGCCACGAAAUUUAAAAUGGAGCAUCACGUUAACAUUUAUUAGGCUAUGUCAAAAGAUGGGCAUCUAUGGAGUUAAGCACGAGGUAGCUAAUUUUCUUAAGUCACGCACUAUUUAUGAUUUUUGAAAAAUAGUAAAAGAAAUUGAAAAAUUACGGAAAAAUAUUUUUUAUGUAUGAAAUACAUGUAUAUAUGUUUUACCAAAGGAUAAAAAAAUAAUAAGUUGAUUUGGUAUUUUUCGUGAAAAAGAAUAGUGAGAUCGGGAUACUGAAAUAAAAUCCGUCUUACUGAAAUGGUAUUUCGGUUUACUAAGAUGUUAUCUAAUUUACUAGGAUAACAUAUAAAAAUGAAUAACUUAUAAGUAUAAGUUAUGAUGUGAUUAAAAGAAUAUCAAAGUAUAAUAAUAAUAUUAAGACUUAAAACUAAUGUCUAAUACUUAACUAUAUGUUAUGACUAACCGAAAGAUCUAUUAUAGGUUUUAUAUGCUGUAUAGACUGAUAGGAUUAUGUGUUUAAGUUAUUUUAUAACGGUGAUGAUAUUAUUCUAAUAUUGGAGAUCUAUAUUAUUAAUAUUAGGUCUUCAGGAGAAGCGUAUUAUAUUGCGUUACGGUAAUCAACGGUUCAGGCAAGUUUUUCAAGUUCUUUUUACUUAAACUCUUUUAAGAGUGGUUUCAGACAGAUAUGCUUAUGAAUUGUACUCUGUACAUAUUGCAUGUAUUCAUCAGGUAUGAAAGGCUGAUCACCUUCAUUACCAGUCAGUUCAGAUAUAAUUGUUAUGUUCAUUUUCAAUGUUCAUUCAGCUUUGAAAUUUUGUUCAUGCUAAUUCACAACUACAUUGUGAAGGAUAGCCAGCUUAUUAUUCAAACUCUUUCAAUCAUGAUAUAUCUUUACCUUGUUUUUUUUAAACUUGCUGGGCAACUUUCAUGCUCACCCUUGCUAUAUCAUGAUAAAACAUUGCAGAUAAGGCGAAUACGGCCAGAUACAGGAAAAGGAUAAUGCCAAGUUCAGCUUGGGAUAAAAUGUGAAGUUAAGUUGUAAAGUAUGUUGAAGAAUAGUAUUGUCAU
rnacentral:lncRNA from 1 species